GGCUACAGCCAUGCCACCCUGAACACGCCCAAUCUCGUCUGAUCUCAAAAGCUAAGCAGAGUCAGGCCUGUUUAGUACUUGGAUGGGAGAUCACUUAGGAAGACCAGGUGCUGUAGACA
rnacentral:rRNA from 1 species